rnacentral:rRNA from 1 species
UACGUAGGGGGCAAGCGUUGUCCGGAAUCAUUGGGCGUAAAGAGCGUGUAGGCGGCCAGGUAGGUCUGCUGUGAAAACUCGAGGCUCAACCUCGAGACGUCGGCGGAAACCAUCUGGCUAGAGUCCGGAAGAGGAGAGUGGAAUUCCUGGUGUAGCGGUGAAAUGCGCAGAUAUCAGGAAGAACACCCGUGGCGAAGGCGGCACUCUGGGACGGUACUGACGCUGAGACGCGAAAGCGUGGGGAGCGAACAGG